rnacentral:sRNA from 1 species
CCUAUCUCUACUUUGUUCUU